GUGGGGAAUAUUGCACAAUGGGCGAAAGCCUGAUGCAGCGACGCCGCGUGAGGGAUGACGGCCUUCGGGUUGUAAACCUCUUUCAGCUCCGACGAAGCGAAAGUGACGGUAGGGGCAGAAGAAGCACCGGCCAACUACGUGCCAGCAGCCGCGGUAAUACGUAGGGUGCAAGCGUUGUCCGGAAUUAUUGGGCGUAAAGAGCUCGUAGGCGGCUUGUCGCGUCGGCUGUGAAAACCUGGGGCUCAACCCCGGGCCUGCAGCCGAUACGGGCAAGCUAGAAUUCGGUAGGGGAGACUGGAAUUCCUGGUGUAGCGGUGAAAUGCGCAGAUAUCAGGAGGAACACCGGUGGCGAAGGCGGGUCUCUGGGCCGAAAUUGACGCUGAGGAGCGAAAGCGUGGGGAGCAAACAGGAUUAGAAACCCGGGUAGUCC
rnacentral:rRNA from 1 species